rnacentral:rRNA from 1 species
UACGGGGGGAGCAAGCGUUGUUCGGAUUUACUGGGCGUAAAGGGCGCGUAGGCGGCGUGUCAAGUCAGGCGUGAAAGCCCCGGGCUCAACCUGGGAACCGCGCUUGAGACUGGCAUGCUCGAGUUCGGGAGAGGAUGGUGGAAUUCCCAGUGUAGAGGUGAAAUUCGUAGAUAUUGGGAAGAACACCGAUGGCGAAGGCAGCCAUCUGGACCGACACUGACGCUGAGGCGCGAAAGCGUGGGGAGCGAACAGG